rnacentral:rRNA from 1 species
AUUGAACGCUGGCGGCAUGCCUUACACAUGCAAGUCGAACGGCAGCACGGGAGCAAUCCUGGUGGCGAGUGGCGAACGGGUGAGUAAUAUAUCGGAACGUGCCCAGUCGUGGGGAUAACGUAGCGAAAGCUACGCUAAUACCGCAUACGAUCUAUGGAUGAAAGCGGGGGAUCGCAAGACCUCGCGCGAUUGGAGCGGCCGAUAUCAGAUUAGGUAGUUGGUGAGGUAAAGGCUCACCAAGCUGACGAUCUGUAGCUGGUCUGAGAGGACGACCAGCCACACUGGGACUGAGACACGGCCCAGACUCCUACGGGAGGCAGCAGUGGGGGAAUUUUUGGACAAAUGGGCGGCAAGCCUGAUCCAGCCAUGCCGCGUGAGUGAUGAAGGCCCUAGGUUGUAAAGCUUUUUCACCGGUGAAGAUAAUAGACGGUAACCGGAGAAGAAGCCCGGCUAACUUCGUGCCAGCAGCCGCGGUAAAGU